UAUUUUUGCCUGUUUUCCUGUGCUCCAGCCAUUACCAUCAGCUCUAUUCACCAGGAUUUCUCACCUCUGUUUCUCUCUGCUCCAGUCAUUGCCAUCUCACACCCUGGAAUAUACAUUACCUCUACUCUCCCCCCGCUGCAGCUGCCGCCGUCAGAGUCCUCCAACUUCAUCUUCUUCCACCUCAUCUCUGGACUGUUCCGUUGUUUGUGCUACUUCAAAUUUUUUCAUCAUAUACCUGAACUUUUCACUCAUUAAACAUUGUUAUAUUUUUACUCCUGCAUCUGGGUCCUAUUUAUAUCACGACAUAUCUAUCCGAUCAAGAUGGACCCAGCAGGACUCGCUUAGAUAAAACAAUAUCUUACCAACCAGGAAUCACACAUCACCCAACAGGAGGAACUGGCUAAAACCACCAGGACGGCCAUCGAGGCUCUGGCGGCACAAUUCACAGAGCUCUCAUCUAUCGUCCAACAGAGUCCAACACCCAGUGAGUCCCCUGCACCCACACCCCCACCACCAAUGUCUAUAGAACCAGUUAUGCCACCCACACUUCGAUACGAACCUCGCAUCAACCCACCAGCGGGCUAUUCGGGUGAGCCGAACUACUGCAGAGCAUUUCUGUCUCAAUAUUCUCUAGCUUUUGCUUUGCAGCCAUCUGCUUUUCCUACUGAAGGUUACAAGGUGGCUUAUGUCAUCUCAUUACUGUCAGGCCGAGCAUGCCUUUGGGGUACGGCAGUGUGGGAUCAGAAAAAUCCUUGUUGUUCCUCGUUCUAGUCAUUUUCUAGUGAGCUACUGAAGGUCUUCGACCAUUUGGCGCAUGGCAGAGAGACUGCCCGAGUUUUGUCUCUGAUUACUCCAUAGAAUUUUGUAUGUUGGCAGCCAGCUGUAACUGGAAUGAGGAGGUGCAGUUGGACUUAUUCCUGCAUGGGUUGGCUGACCUUUGAUGAGUUGGUCGACUUUGCCAUUUGAGUGGACUCACAUCUUCAACAUCACUCACGCUUGGCACUAGCUUCUCGUGUCUUCACGGUGCGAUCAGCCAGUCUUCAGAAGAAGAACCCAUGCAAGUGGGCAGAGCUCGAUUGACCCGGGAGGAGAGGGAUCGAUGACACACUCAUGGUCUCUGUUUGUAUUGUGGAUCUGCUGGUCAUAUGUUACGUUUCUGCCCAUUAAAAGACAGAGCCCACCAGUAGUCCAGAGGUUACUGGUGGGUGGAUCUUCUUUACGUAAACCCACUUCAUCUACUCUCCUCCCGGUACGGCUGCAGUGGGAUACCCUUCAACAUUCCUGUCACGCCCUGGUAGACUCUGGAGCUGAAUCUAACCUUGUCGAUGCAUCCCUGGUCAAAUCCCUCAAGAUUCCUACCUCCACACUCGAGCACAAAAUUUCGGUCAAUACCCUCUGUAACACUCAACUCACCGAAAUCACCCAGAUCACCACCACCAUCAGACUCGUCGUUUCUGGUAACCACACUGCACUCACCUCUAUCUAUGUCAUUGACUCUCCCCUGGCUCCAGUCGUCUUAGGUCACUCCUGAUUAUCCUCACAAAAUCCCCACAUCGACUGGUCCAGAAACAAAAUAUUGGCUUGGAGCACUUACUGUCAUUCUGCUUGUCUUUUGUUUGCUCCUUCCCCUGUGUCUUGUUUUGUGUUGUAGGAUGAGCCGGUGGAUGUUUCCCGUGUUCCUGUGGAGUACCAUGACCUGAGAGAGGUGUUUUGUAAGUCCUGUGCUGCUUCUCUUCCUCCGCAUCGUCCCUACAAUUGCGCUAUUGAGCUUAAGUCAGAGCAAUGGACAGGACGAGCUGGCUAACCAAGAUCUAGAAAGAGCUUUACGGUGUGUGGCCUCUCACAACACUAUGUCUUGGAGCCAGCAGCUCACGUGGGUGAAGUACACACACAACUUGUUGCCAGUAUCAUCAACAGGCCUUUCUCCAUUUCAGAUGGGGAACACGCUUAUUCGGUCAAGGGUAUUCUGGAUUCUAGAUGGAGGGGGCACGGUUUCCAGUACCUGGUAGAUUGGGAAGGUUACGGUCCAGAGGAGAGGAGUUGGGUCCCGGCCCGGGACAUACUUGACCAUUCUCUCAUUGACAGCUUCCAUCAGCAGCAGGUCACCCAUCCUGAGCAUACCGAGAGGCAUGCGUAGAGGGGAGGUACUCUCAAGGGAGGAUUAAUUCUGUUGGUUUGUUUAUGUGUGUCUCCCUCGUGUUGUUGCUGGUGCGGACUUAAUCACGUGGCAGCGUUGCUCAGCAACGUUCAUUACCAGCUGCUGCUUGAUUAGCUCGGCACCUCUGCAUCUUCUCUCUCCCUUAUAAGCAGCCCUUUUGUGUGAGUUCAGUAUCGGAUCGUUCUCUUGUUGUGUGCUUUGUUACUCGUAUUCUCAUGCUGUUCUCUGUAUUCCAUUCACCAGGAUUUCUCACCUCUGUUUCUCUCUGCUCCAGUCGUUGCCAUCUCACACCCUGGAAUAUACAUUACCUCUACUCUCCCCCUGCUGCAGCUGCCGCCGUCAGAGUCCUCCAACUUCAUCUUCUUCCACCUCAUCUCUGGACUGUUCCGUUGUUUGUGCUACUUCAAUUUUUUUCAUCAUAUACCUGAACUUUUCACUUAUUAAACAUUGUUAUAUUUUUAUUUAUAUAAAUUUAUAUUACCACAAAUGUACAGUAUACAAUACACACAAUAUAGAAUACACAUACACACAAUAUAGAAUACAAAGUAUGCAAUAAAAAUAGUAUAUAUAAAAUAUACAGUAGGUUGUAUUGUGCUGUAUUAACAUUCAGGCUGUCGGCUGAUAGUCAGUUGCCAAUGUGUUGUUAAGAAGGAAUAUAAUAUAUGACAGGCCAGUGUGAGAUUAAAGUGCAAUGCUGAUGUAUAUUGAUCGUGAGAGAUCAAGAGUUCAAAAGUCUGAUCGCUUGGGGGAAGAAGCUGUCAUGAAGUCUGCUGGUGCAAGUCCUGAUGCUGCAAUACCGCCUGCCUGAUGAUAGCAGUGAGAGCAGCCCAUGGUUCGGGUGGCUGGAGUCUCUGAUGAUCCUCCGAGUUUUUUUCACACAACGCCUGGUAUAGAUGUCCUGGAGGGAGGGAAGCUCACCUCUUUGCAGGGCUUUGCAGUUGAAGGCAGUGCAGUCGCCAUACCAGGAGGUGAUGCA